CUUGCCUCUGUGGAACGUGUAGCUGCCUCCAGGUAUCCCCAUCCCAACUCUUUCUGGGAGUUCCCAUCAAUUCCCAGAAGUGCUCAGUCAGCUCACUCAGCCACUGCGCAAUCAGGCAUUUUCCCUCCUUCACGCCAGACUCUGGGCUGUGUAGGUUGCCUGGUGUUGCCUGUCAGUGUGGGUGCAGGCUGCUGAUGAAUGUGUGGCCAUAAGGAGGCUACCCCUGCCAUGUCGAGGCCAGCUGAGGUCACUGGGGCUUUGCUCUGUGCCUGGAAAUGUCCCAGACUCUGCUGGUGUGCUGGAGCUCAGGUUGCGCCAAGGCUUCACUCUGUACUUUGAUUUCUCAAGUCUGCACUGGCUUCAUCUCCAAGUGGGGAAAAUUCCUACCCUCGUUUUAUUGUCUUUCAUAGGUGCCAAAGCAGCACUGAUUCGGGUGCCCAGUAUUUCCCAAACCUCUGAGCGAGGCAGCUCUCCUCUAUUCUGUGAAAGGCUCCUCCUCUCAGGCGAGGACCCAGGUCCCUGGAGGAAGACUCUCUCUUUGGCUCUUCUCACUUGUUUGCUCUGAUGAAGCAAGCUGGCAUGUUGUGAACUAUCUUAUGGAGGUGCCAGCAUGAUAAAGAACUGAGGACGGCAUCAGGCCAACAGUAAGUGAGAAACUGAGGCCCUUAAUCCAACAGCUGGAGAGGAACUGAAAUCUCUCAGCAGCCACUGAAGCUUAGAGACAGUUCCUCCACCAGUCCUGUUUUAAGAUGACUGCAGACCCAGCUGACAGCUUGAUUGCAGCCUUCCAAGAUGAUCCUCGUGAGAGAUCCAGGGCUGGAGGAUCCAGCUAAGCUGUGCCUAGAUUCCUGAUUUGCAGAAACAAUGCAGAUAUCUGCUAUGAAAAGGUGCCCUUUGGUGUACCUAGCUUAUAGUAGGUACUCAAAAAUAUUAAUUGAAUGAACUAAUGAAUACAUAAAUGAGAACAGUUAGAAAUAUAGCACUGGAAUUUAGCUAAGAUUUCAUAAAUGAAUUAGCAUUCUGAUGACCAGAGAAAUAUUUUUAUAUGGUUAAAACAUUUAGCCUUAUGGCGUUGGUGGAGAUGCACAGAAUAUGUUGAACAGUAAGACAUGACUGUAAUCUCCCACCAUGUAGCAGAGGUGUUCAUUUCCACAGCAAUAUGAUGACAAGAAAAUAAGAAAUAAGGGCAUUUAAUCUGUGGCAGAAAUGGCGUGAUGGUUAUUUUUACAUGUCAACUUGGCUAGGCUAUAUAUAUGGUUAUUUAAUCAAAUUCUAAUCUGGGUGUUGCUGUGAAGGUAUUUUAUAAAUGUGGUUGACAUGUACAAUCACUUGACUUUAAGUAAUCUGGGUGGGCCUCCUCCAAUUAAUUAAAGGUCUUAUGAGCAAAAACUGAGGUUUUCUGAAGAAGAAUUUCUGUCUCAGGACUAUAGUGUCAGUUUCUGCUUGAGUUUUCAGCCUACUGGCCUGUGGAUUUCAGAUUUACUGGCCCCUAAAAUGGUGUGAGCCAAUUCUUUAAAAUAAAUCUCAGUCUCUCUCUCUGCCCCUCGCACACAUCCUAUUAUUCCUUUUUCUCUGGAGAAUCCAGACUGAUACCGAUUGCUACUGCUCAGGGAGAAUGGAUGUGUG
ensembl:lncRNA